rnacentral:rRNA from 1 species
UACGUAGGGUGCGAGCGUUGUCCGGAAUUAUUGGGCGUAAAGAGCUCGUAGGCGGUCUGUCGCGUCGAUCGUGAAAACUUGGGGCUUAACCCUGAGCUUGCGGUCGAUACGGGCAUGACUGGAGUUCGGCAGGGGAGACUGGAAUUCCUGGUGUAGCGGUGAAAUGCGCAGAUAUCAGGAGGAACACCAAUUGCGAAGGCAGCUCGCUGGGACGUUACUGACGCUGAGACGCAAAGCGUGGGAGCGAACGG